UAACCAGACGAAAUUAUCAGUGAAUCAUCAUCCUGUUCCGAGAAAUGAGCAAUAUGGCGCUGGAAAGAUCAAUCAGCUGAUCGUGUCAUGUGGAUUACACGAUUGCAAGGGCGCAAUUAACUCCGUGCAAGCUAUUGUACAGCUAUUUCAUUACGAUAAUUUAAUGUGGAGAGAAAAAAACGGCAACAUUUGAAUUUUAUAAUUA